rnacentral:misc_RNA from 1 species
GUGAAUCAUCGAAUUUUUGAACGCAAAUUGCACUCUCCUCGGAGAGUAUGCGUGUUUGAGGGUCAGCCUAUAAAAAAUAGAAAUCGUUGCUGUUUUGUGGUGGCGUUGGUGGGAAAUUGGGUAAUCUUAAACCUUUUGGUUUUAAGCGACUUAAAAUUUUUUUUUUGGUUCAAUGAACGUUUCUAAGAUUUAUUUAUUUACACGUUUAAGUUAUCGAUUUUUAUUGGACGUGAACAACAUAUUGGAUUGCGCCUAAAAU